rnacentral:lncRNA from 1 species
GGUACCUAAUAGUGGCACAACACACAGUUACAUGCAUCAUGUUAUAAGACAUUAAAUAUCAAUCUUAUGUAGAACUUCAUCUUUGAUUUUAAAAUUUCACUUUAAAUCAGCGUCAAGAUAAUAAUAAAUUUUUUAAACUAUCAAAUAACAAUAAAAAAUAAUCCAUAAAAAAUAAUAUAUUAUAAUAAAUUUUAUUAAGAGGGAGAG